rnacentral:ncRNA from 1 species
ACAGUACGAUGAAAGUUGUAAGCUGUGUUCGGGGGGGAGUUAUUGUCUAUCGUUGGCCUCUAUGGUAGAACCCGUCGGGGAGGCCUGAGAGGCGGUGGUUUACCCUGU